rnacentral:rRNA from 1 species
UGGGGAAUUUUGGACAAUGGGCGAAAGCCUGAUCCAGCAAUGCCGCGUGUGUGAAGAAGGCCUUCGGGUUGUAAAGCACUUUUGUCCGGAAAGAAAUCCUUGGCUCUAAUACAGUCGGGGGAUGACGGUACCGGAAGAAUAAGCACCGGCUAACUACGUGCCAGCAGCCGCGGUAAUACGUAGGGUGCAAGCGUUAAUCGGAAUUACUGGGCGUAAAGCGUGCGCAGGCGGUUUGCUAAGACCGAUGUGAAAAUCCCCGGGCUCAACCUGGGAACUGCAUUGGUGACUGGCAGGCUAGAGUAUGGCAGAGGGGGGUAGAAUUCCACGUGUAGCAGUGAAAAUGCGUAGAGAUGUGGAGGAAAUACCGAUGGCGAAGGCAGCCCCCUGGGCCAAUACUGACGCUCAUGCACGAAAAGGCGUGGGGAAGCAAACAGGAUUAGAUACCCUGGUAGUCCCACGCCCUAAACGAUGUCAACUAGUUGUUGGGGAUUCAUUUCCUUAGUAACGUAGCUAACGCGUGAAGUUGA